rnacentral:rRNA from 1 species
AACGAACGCUGGCGGCAGGCUUAACACAUGCAAGUCGAACGCCCCGCAAGGGGAGUGGCAGACGGGUGAGUAACGCGUGGGAACAUACCCUUUUCUACGGAAUAGCUCUGGGAAACUGGAAUUAAUACCGUAUACGCCCUACGGGGAAAAGAUUUAUCGGGGAAGGAUUGGCCCGCGUUGGAUUAGCUAGUUGGUGGGGUAAAAGCCUACCAAGGCGACGAUCCAUAGCUGGUCUGAGAGGAUGAUCAGCCACAUUGGGACUGAGACACGGCCCAAACUCCUACGGGAGGCAGCAGUGGGGAAUAUUGGACAAUGGGCGCAAGCCUGAUCCAGCCAUGCCGCGUGAGUGAUGAAGGCCUUAGGGUUGUAAAGCUCUUUCACCGAUGAAGAUAAUGACGGUAGUCGGAGAAGAAGCCCCGGCUAACUUCGUGCCAGCCGCCGCGGUAAUAC